CAGCAGCCGCGGGAACACGGAGGGAGCUAGCGUUGUUCGGAAUUACUGGGCGUAAAGCGCGCGUAGGCGGUUACUCAAGUCAGAGGUGAAAGCCCGGGGCUCAACCCCGGAACUGCCUUUGAAACUAGGUGACUAGAAUCUUGGAGAGGUCAGUGGAAUUCCGAGUGUAGAGGUGAAAUUCGUAGAUAUUCGGAAGAACACCAGUGGCGAAGGCGACUGACUGGACAAGUAUUGACGCUGAGGUGCGAAAGCGUGGGGAGCAAACAGGAUUAGAUACCCCGGUAGUCCCUGUCUCUUAUAC
rnacentral:rRNA from 1 species